CUUGUCCUCACCUGUAGCACUGAG
rnacentral:piRNA from 1 species